UGCAGUCGAGCGGAACGAAGGUAGCUUGCUACCAGGCGUCGAGCGGCGGACGGGUGAGUAACGCGUAGGAAUCUGCCUAGUAGAGGGGGACAACAUGUGGAAACGCAUGCUAAUACCGCAUACGCCCUGAGGGGGAAAGGAGGGGAUCACUUGUGACCUUCCGCUAUUAGAUGAGCCUGCGUGAGAUUAGCUAGUUGGUAGGGUAAAGGCCUACCAAGGCGACGAUCUCUAACUGGUCUGAGAGGAUGACCAGUCACACUGGGACUGAGACACGGCCCAGACUCCUACGGGAGGCAGCAGUGGGGAAUAUUGGACAAUGGGCGCAAGCCUGAUCCAGCCAUGCCGCGUGUGUGAAGAAGGCCUUAGGGUUGUAAAGCACUUUCAGGGGUGAGGAAGGGUGAGUCGCUAAUAUCGACUUAUCUUGACGUUAGCCCCAGAAGAAGCACCGGCUAACUCUGUGCCAGCAGCCGCGGUAAUACAGAGGGUGCAAGCGUUAAUCGGAAUUACUGGGCGUAAAGCGCGCGUAGGUGGUUUGUUAAGCUAGAUGUGAAAGCCCCGCGCUCAACGUGGGAGGGUCA
rnacentral:rRNA from 1 species